rnacentral:rRNA from 1 species
AGUGAACGCUGGCGGCGUGCUUAACACAUGCAAGUCGAACGAGAACGGGUUAUAACUUGUUAUAACUGUCAGCUAAGUGGCGCACGGGUGAGUAAUGUAUAGGUAAUAUGCCUCUUACUAAGGGAUAACAAAUGGAAACGUUUGCUAAUACCUUAUACUCCUUAUUAACCUAAGUUAAUAAGGGAAAGAUUUAUUGGUAAGAGAUUAGCCUGUAUUGUAUCAGUUAGUUGGUGGGGUAAUGGCUUACCAAGACUAUGACACAUAACUGGUUUGAGAGGAUGAUCAGUCACACUGGAACUGAGACACGGUCCAGACUCCUACGGGAGGCAGCAGUGGGGAAUAUUGCACAACGGACGAAAGUCUGAUGCAGCAACGCCGCGUGGAGGAUGACACAUUUCGGUGCGUAAACUCCUUUUAUAUGAGAAGAUAAUGACGGUAUUAUAUGAAUAAGCACCGGCUAACUCCGUGCCAGCCGCCGCAGUAAGAC